UACGUAGGGUGCGAGCGUUAAUCGGGAAUUACUGGGCGUAAAGCGUGCGCAGGCGGUUUUGUAAGCCAGGUGUGAAAUCCCGGGCUCAACCUGGGAAUGGCAUUUGGGACUGCAAGGCUGGAGUGCGGCAGAGGAGACUGGAAUUCCUGGUGUAGCAGUGAAAUGCGUAGAUAUCAGGAGGAAUACCGAUGGCGAAGGCAGGUCUCUGGGCUGACACUGACGCUCGAUGCAGAAAGCGUGGG
rnacentral:rRNA from 1 species